rnacentral:lncRNA from 7 species
AAUGCCACCUUGGAGGGGUGACAAUGCCACCAUAGGGGGUGUCAAUGUCACCAUGGGGGUGAUACUGCCACCAUAGGGGGGUGACAGUGCCACCAUAGGGGGUGACAAUGCCACCAUGGGGGGGGGAUACGGCCACCAUAGGGAGGUGACAACGUCACCAUGGGGGGUGACACCACCAUCAUGGAGGGGUGACAAUGCCACCAUGGGGGUGUGACAAUGUCUCCAUAGGAGGUGGCAAAGUCACCAUAGGGGGGUCACACUGUCACCAUGGGGGGGCAAUGCCACCCUAGGAGGUGACGAUGCCACCAUAGGGGUGACAAUGCCACCAUGGGGGGUGACACUGCCACCAUAGGGGGUGACAGUGUCUCCAUAGAAGGUGGCAAAGUCACCAUAGAGGGUGACACUGCCACCAUGGGGGUGACAAUGUCACCAUACGGGGGUGACAAUGCCACCAUAGGAGGUGACAAUGCCACUAUGGGGGGGUGACAAUGUCACCAUAGGGGGUGUGACAAUGUCACCAUGGGGGUGAUACUGCCACCAUAGGGGGGGGUGACAAUGCCACCAUGGGGGGUGAUAAUGCCACUAUAGGGGGGGGGUGACAAUGUCACCAUGGGGGUGACACUGCCACCAUAGGGGGUGUGACACUGCUGCUAUGGGGGGUGACAAUGCCACCAUGGGGAGGUGACAAUGCCACCUUGGAGAGGUGACACUGCCAUCAUAGGGGGUGACAAUGCCACCAUGGGGGGUGACACUGCCACCAUGAGGGGGGGGGUGUGUGACAAUGUCACCAUGGGGGUGUGACAAUGCCACCAUAGGGGGUGACAAUGCCACCAUGGGGGGGGUGUGUGACAAUGUCACCACGGGGCUGUGACAGUGCCACUAUGGGGGGUGACAAUGCCACCAUGGGGGGGUGACAAUGUCACCAUGGGGGUGUGACAGUGCCACCAUAGGGGUGACAAUGCCACCAUGGGGGUGACAAUGGCACCAUGGGGGUUUGACACUGCUGCCAUGGGGUGUGACAAUGCCACCAUGAGGGUGACAAUGCCACCUUGGAGAGGUGACACU